rnacentral:rRNA from 1 species
CCUACGGGAGGCAGCAGUGGGGAAUAUUGCACAAUGGGGGAAACCCUGAUGCAGCGACGCCGCGUGAGUGAAGAAGUAUUUCGGUACGUAAAGCUCUAUCAGCAGGGAAGAAAAUGACGGUACCUGACUAAGAAGCCCCGGCUAAAUACGUGCCAGCAGCCGCGGUAAUACGAAGGGGGCAAGCGUUAUCCGGAUUUACUGGGUGUAAAGGGAGCGUAGACGGCAGCGCAAGUCUGGAGUGAAAUCCCAUGGCUUAACCAUGGAACUGCUUUGGAAACUGUGCAGCUAGAGUGCAGGAGAGGUAAGCGGAAUUCCUAGUGUAGCGGUGAAAUGCGUAGAUAUUAGGAGGAACACCAGGGGCGAAGGCGGCUUACUGGACUGUAACUGACGUUGAGGCUCGAAAGCGUGGGGAGCAAACAGGAUUAGAUACCCCAGUAGUC